GUGGGGAAUAUUGGACAAUGGGCGCAAGCCUGAUCCAGCCAUGCCGCGUGAGUGAUGAAGGCCUUAGGGUUGUAAAGCUCUUUUAGCAGGGAAGAUAAUGACGGUACCUGCAGAAAAAGCCCCGGCUAACUUCGUGCCAGCAGCCGCGGUAAUACGAAGGGGGCUAGCGUUGCUCGGAAUUACUGGGCGUAAAGCGCACGUAGGCGGCUUCUUAAGUCGGUGGUGAAAUCCUGGAGCUCAACUCCAGAACUGCCUUCGAUACUGGGAAGCUCGAGUCCGGGAGAGGUGAGUGGAACUGCGAGUGUAGAGGUGAAAUUCGUAGAUAUUCGCAAGAACACCAGUGGCGAAGGCGGCUCACUGGCCCGGUACUGACGCUGAGGUGCGAAAGCGUGGGGAGCAAACAGGAUUAGAAACCCCGGUAGUCC
rnacentral:rRNA from 1 species